AGCGAACGCUGGCGGCGUGCCUAACACAUGCAAGUCGAACGUGAAAGGGAGCAAUCCCAAGUAAAGUGGCGUACGGGUGAGUAACACGUAGGUAAUCUACCCCAGAAUCUGGAAUAACCGGCCGAAAGGCUGGCUAAUACUGGAUAGAGCGACGGAAUCCGUAAUUGGGUUUUUCGGGAAAGGGAGCAUGUAACACGGCCUUCGUUCUGGGAUGAGCCUGCGUCCCAUCAGCUAGUUGGUGAGGUAAAAGCUUACCAAGGCAAUGACGGGUAGCUGGUCGGAGAGGACGAACAGCCCACCUUGAACUGAAACACGGUCCAGACUCCUACGGGAGGCAGCAGUGGGGAAUCUUGCGCAAUGGACGAAAGUCUGACGCAGCAACGCCGCGUGAGUGAAGAAGGCCUUCGGGUUGUAAAGCUCUGUCGGGUGGGACGAAAAUGCUUGGAGUUCACAGCUCCAGGAACUGACGGUACCACUAAAGGAAGCACCGGCUAACUCCGUG
rnacentral:rRNA from 1 species